UGCUUUCCCUUUGAUGGGUUUUUUGUGAACGGUUGUCCAUUCGCCAACUAUUAAAGGUUGUUUACCUCUAUCCAUAAGGCCUGCUCAAAAAAUCAGCAAGUAGAUUUUCAUCACUUUUAAUAUAAAAAACUUCAAAAUUAAAAGUACAUAAAUCAUUAUACCACCUAAUUCUUCUAGGAACAGUUUCUAAACUAUUGUUAGUUAGAAAUUGUUUGACUGCCUGAUUAUCAGUUCUUAUAAUGAACUUUUCAGGUGCUAAAUAAAUAAGGAAAGUUUUUAUCCUUUUUUUAAUAGCUAGCAAUUCUUUUUCAUAAAUAAUAUAAUUAAUCUCAUUAGGUUUAAAUUUUCCUGAGCUAUAUCCACAUAUUAGUUCUUCAUUAUUAUUAGUUGUUUUGGCUUUUAGAAUACAUCCCCAAUAAUAUUGUGAUGCAUCAGUUUCUAAAAUUAGUUUAUCUCCUUUUUUAGGUAAAUAAACCUUUGGAUUAUAAGUAAUUUAUGUUUUUAUAUUUUUUUUAUAACUUCUUCGUCUUGUUUAGUCCAACAAAAACAAAUAUUCUUUUUUAAUUUAUCAUAUAAUCCUCCUAUUUUUUCAGCUAAUUUUGGAAAAAAAGUUCUUCCAUAAUUAACUAUUCCUAAAAAUUGUGAAAGAUGUUUUUUAUCUUCUAUUUUUUCAGGAAAUUCUUUUAUUUUUACAAUAAUAUGAUCUUAUAGUUGAAAACCAUGAGCUGAUAAUUUUAAUCCUAAAAAUUUAAUUUCUGUUUUCUCAAGCUCUAUUUUUUAGGGCUUAAUAUAAUUCCAUGUUUUAGGAAUUCUUGAGAAAUAAUAUUUAGAUGUUUUCUAUGCUCUUCAAGUGUUUUUGAAAAGACUAAGAUAUCAUCUAUAUAUACCACACAAAAUUUUUUAUAUUUAUUAAAAAUAGAAUCCAUCCAUCUUUGAAAAACUUGUGGGGCAUUACAUAGACCAAAUGGCAUUACCUUCCAUUGAUAAUAACCAUUAGGAACACUAAAGGCUGUCAAAGGUUUUGAUUCAUCAGUUAGCAUGAUUUGCCAGAAUCCUGAUUUACAAUCAAAUUUACUAAAGUAUUUAGCAUGUUUAGCCUGAUUAAUUAAUACUUCUUUUCGUGGAAUAAAAUAUCCAUCAAAAAUAGUAUUCUGAUUUAAUCUCUUAUAAUUAAUAACCAUUCUAGCUUUUCCUCUUUUAAUUUCAGCAUGAUUUCUUACCAUAAAAGCUGGACUGGAAUGAGGACUACUAGUUUUUUCUAUUAAUCCUUUUUCUAGAAGUUCAUUUAUUUGAACAUCAAAUUCAUCUAUAUCUUGUUUAGUAUAGAUUAUAGGUUUAACCCUAAUGAUUUUAUUAUGAUUAAUUAUUUUUAUUUCACAGUAUCUUGGACUAUUUUUCCAUAAUUUUAAUGGUUCUUCACUAAAAUUAUUAUCAAGAAUUUUAAACAACCAAUGAUUUGUUUCUAGUUGUUUAAUUUGUUCAUUCCUUGUUGGAAUAAAAUUUUGAUCACACAAAUUUAUGGUUUUCUACAAGUGGUAUUUCCAUUGAGAAAUUUUCCACAGAUAAAAUAACAAAAUUUCUAUCUAUAGAAAAAGGUAAGUGUUGAUAUAUAAAAUUAUUACCUAAUAAUAUGUCUCCAUGCAUUUCAGGAAAACAUAAAAUCUUCAGAAUAACAAAUCUAAUAUUGUUUAUGUAGAUCGGUAUAUUUCUAGCCUUAUAUUGAAUUAUGGUUUCGUUACCAUCUAUUCCUAUUGCUCUUAUAGGAUUAUUCAUAACUUCCCAUUUUUCUAUAGGAAUCGCAUUUUUUCUGCAACUACUGGUUGUAGCUCCAGUGCCUAAUAAAGCAUGUAGAGAAUACUUUUUAUAUUCUCUAAAUUGAAAAUUAAUUUCAAUAUAAGUAUAAUAUUUUUUAGGUUGAAAAUUUGAAAAAGUAAUAAUAUCAUUUUUUCCAAUUUUCAUUUGGUGAAUAAUAGUCUGUACUUUUUUAGUAUUUAUGGAAUUUUCUAAUAAAAAUAUUUUUUUCAUUUUUAUAAGAAUUUAUUUCCUUUUUAUGACACAUAGAAAAAAUUAGCGGUAAUACAGUCGCUAAAGAUACAAGAGGGGGAUUAACAGAAAUUCUACUCUUUACUAAAAAAAAAAUUAAGAAGAUUAAAAAGAAAUAUCCUCAGGUUAGAUAUAUUCAUUUAGGGAUAAUCAUGAUUACUAUUAGAGCCUUAUUUAGAAGAGGACAUGAUAUUCCUAUAAUUGCUGUCCUUUUAGAUAAAAGAUUUGAAAAUCCAAUAAAAGCACUUAUUGGAGGAAUUCAGUCUAAUUUACAUACAGGCGUAAUAGGAUUUAAAGUUAAACCCAAUUACUUUAUUUCCAUUACAGAUCCUCUAAUAGAAGAGUGUUUUUACCUUAGAAUUCAGACAAAAAAUUCUGAUAUUAAUGAUUUAGCAGAAGAUCUAGCAAUCAGUUGGACUUCUAUUAAUGAAUAUACAAAUAUUGCUGAAGUAGAAAUAAAAGAGAUUAAUAACAAAAUUAUUAAACUCUUUGAACCAAACCGGUUCACUACUGAAAUCCAGCCUAGAUUAUUAGAUAUAAGAGAUUUGUCAAUUCCAAGAGAUUGGAUGAUAGAUAAAAUUAGUAAUGCAAGUACUUCUAAACCAGUAAGUACUAUAGAAUACAUGUCAUCUGGAAACAAAUUAUAUUUUAAAAAUAAUUGUAUAACCAAUACAAAUAAAAAUUUAGUUUCUCUCUAGUUCUCAACCCGAAGAAGAAGAAUAUUAGUACAAACAGUACACCAAUAAGAAUUAAAACUGUACAAAUUCCUAUAUUUCUUACUGAACCCAGUACUAAUUCUAGAAAAACUAGAAUGGAAGAAAUACAGGUUUCAACUAUUGAUAAAAAGUCAAAAGUUGGAAUAAAUAUAAGAAUUACAUUCCAGUUUAGUAAAUAUAAACCAUAUUCUCUAAACGCUAUGAUAGAUACUAGAGCUACAAUCUGUAGUUGCAGAAUGAAUGCAAUCCCUACAGAAAAAUAGGAAUUAAUGAGAAAACCUAUAAUAAUAAAAGGUAUAGAUGGUAAUAAAACCAUUAUUAAUUAUAAAGCAAAAAAUAUACCAAUCUACAUAAACAAUGUUAGAUUUGUAAUUCCUAAAAUUGUAUGUUUUCCUAGUAUGCAAACAGAUAUAUUAUUAGGAAAUAAUUUUAUACUUAGACAUUUACCUUUUACUAUUGACAAAAAUAGUAUUUGGUUAUCAAAAGAAAAAGAUUUUAUAAAAAUACCUAUUGAAAAUAAUAAUAAAGUCGUGUGUAAUAAAAAAUUUACACCUAUUAAAUUAGAUAAUUAUUCCUAACAAUUGCUAAUUUUUUAAGCAGGUCUUAUGGAUAAAGGUAAAAAACCUCUACAUCAAGAAAUAGUUGGUGAAUGGACAACCGUCCACAAAAAACCCACCAAAGGGAAAGCAGAAUCAACAUCCAAAAAAGGAUUUAUACCUGCACAACAAACACCAUUUUAUCCUAACCAAGGAUAUUAUGUGUCUUAUCAAAUGGUAAACUAACCACUUGGAUCAAAUGUUUUAAAUUACCCAAUGGUAAAUCAACCAAUGGGAAAUACUUUUUCAUUGACCCCAAACACAGUGGGUCAAUUACAAUGGUCCCAAAAUCUGAAUUCAGUAUCACAAACAAGUUAUGCUGAAGUCAUUAAGGGAGCAGAGAAUUUGUUGAAUCAACAACAAAUUCAAGAAUUAAAAUAUCUUUCAAAAAUUAAAGAUUUUUAUAAUCCUGAUUUAUCACCAGAAAUUUAUGAUUUUAUAAAUGAAAUAUGGAAAACCCAUAUUUCACAACAAAGAGUCAAUUUUCGUAGAGCUCUUACCAGAUUUUCAUUAUUUUUAGUUGACAAAACAACUAAAGAGAAUGAAGGUGAAUAUUUAUUACUUAAAUCCAUUUUAUAUAGAGAAUGGGAUGAAUUCCAAUUAGAAUUCAUUAAUAUUAAGGAGAUAAACAAUCUUCUUGAUAUUUUCUAAUAUUUUAUUCAUAAAGGAAAAAACAGUCCUAUUAUGAAUAAGGUAUUCAGAAUUUGUUUAUAUAACAAAUCUAGACAAAUUCUGCCUGUGGCAUUAUUCAACAAAAUUAAUGGAAUUAUUUGUAAUCAACAGAUUCAAUUCCAAAAAACUUUUUCUGAAUAUUUUCUACAAUCUUAUGUUUUUACAAAUUUUUUUGGAAAUAAUUGUCCAACUAUAAAAUAUAGAUUGAAUCACGAACCAUUUGAUAUAACCAAUAUUGAAUGGGGUUUUGUUAGAGAAAUAAUAAUACAAAAUUUCUCUUUUCAUCUUCUAUUAAAUUUUCCAGCAAUAGUAAAAUCCUUUUUACAAACCAUCAUAAACAAUGAUGAUUUCUUUUACUAUUUUUAUAUUCAAAUUAGUACUUUUAUAGGUAUUUCUGAAAAAGAAAAAAAAUUUCAGCCAUACCAAAUAUGGUUUAUUCAUACUAUGCUUGAUAGUCCUCGGUUAUCAGCUUUAAAUGAAGACAAAAAACACCUGGCAAAAACAAUUGACAAGUGACAAAAAGAUCCAAACUAUUAUCAAAUCCAAAUCGGAAUUAAUUUAAUGGCUAAAGCCAGAUAUCUUCUUCAAGAAAGAAACUACUACAUCAGAACUGAUGAAAGAAGAAUAAUGGCAUAUUAUUCUAGAAUUGGUGAUAAAGACGAAGAAUCCAUUCAACUAUUAAAAAAGAUAGCAGAAAUGGAUAUUAAUGAUUUCCCGCCUCAUAUUCUGCAACAAAUCAGAAGCACAUGGGAAAAUUGCCAUUAAGAUAUAUCUAAAGUUCAUUAUGAUGGUUAAAACAUCCAGAUGAAGACAAAAAGUCAUACAUCAGGAAAAUUAUCAAGAAGGUUGAAGUCAACAAAGAUGGUAACCUGAUGAACAAUCCACAUACCAACAAAAAGAUUGGAAACGUGGAAAUCAUGAUGAUGUAAGCCAUGAUGGAAGAAAUCAUGAAGGCUAAUCAAAGACAUCCAGAUGCAGACAACAAGGUCCUGUAACGUGGAAACUGUCAUCAAACUAAUGAUGAUAUAAGCAACCAUGACACAAGCAAGUGAUGGAAGCGGCCAUUAAUACAAGCAUGCAAAGUGGAAACAACCAGAGCCAUGCAAUUAAAGUUACAAAAAGACAAAUGCGACGUGGAAGCAGCCACAUCCAUUUGAAGCCGAAUCCUUAACAGAAACACUGUUCGGGAUUCAACCAACAAUUGUAUAGAAUUUUUAAUCUCCUCUAUAAAUAGAGAGGAAAGUUCAAUUGUAUAGCAUCUUGUAAAUUCUGCAUAAUCUUUCUCUUAGAAUUCAAUUUUGUAAAUUACCGACGACUUUUCUUUAUAAUAAAAGAGUCUAUAUUCCCUUCCGCUCUUACUCUCAAAUACUUUACAUUACCCUUCCUCCCCAGCUUGGUAUCGGAAGUGCCGGUGUAACGACUUUCUGGAGAAAGUAGCGUAAUAUUUAUUGUAAGUUUUAAUCUUUGAUUUACAUUUCUGUUUGUUUCAAAAUUAUUUGUUUCAAAACCUAUAUCUGUUAAUCUGUCUUCUUAUUGUCGUUAAGUCCGGGGUGGACGUUUAGGCGUUUGGUGAAUACGUUAGGAUUAAAGGCUAGUCUUAGGUACCCGAAGCAAAUAAUAUGGAGCAAAUCGAGUGUCAGUUUAAAGAUAACUUGUUAUCAAAUUAUGCAUAUAGACUCUAGAAAUGAAAAUAACAUUUCAUUUGUUAAACCAUCAAAUUCUAACAUCCAUAAAAAGAUUUGUACCUGCACAACAAACACAAUUUUAUCCUAACCAAUGAUAUUAUGUGUCUUAUCCAAUGGUAAACUAACUACUUGGAUCAAAUGUUUUAAAUUACCCAAUGGUAAAUCACCCAAUGAGAAAUACUUUUUCAUUGACCUCAAACACGGUGAGUCAAUUACAAUGGUCCCAAAAUCCGAAUUCAGUAUCACAAACAAAUUAUGCUGAAGUCAUUAAGGGAGUAGAGAAUUUGUUGAAUCAACAAUAAAUUCAAGAAUUAAAAGAUCUUUCAAAAAUUAAAGAUUUUUAUAAUCCUGGUUUAUCACCAGAAAUUUAUAAUUUUAUAAAUGAAAUAUGGAAAACCCAUGUUUCACAACAAAGAGCCAAUUUCCGUAGAGCUCUUAUCAGAUUUUCAUUAUUUUUAGUUGAAAAACAACUAAAGAGAAUGAAGCUGAAGACUUAUUACUUAAAUCCAUUUUAUAUAGAGAAUAGAAUGAAUUCCAGUUAGAAUUCAUUGAUAUUAAGAAAAUAAACAAUCUUCUUGAUAUUAUUCAAUAUUUUAUUCAUAAAGGGAAAAACAAUUCUAUUAUGAAUAAAGUAUUUAGAAUAUGUAUGUUCAAUAAAGCUAGGAAAUUAUUACCUGUAGAAAUAUUCACAAAAAUAAAUAAAGUAAUUUGCAGACAACAAAACCAAUUUCAAAAAGCUUUUUCAGAAUAUUUUCUACAAGCUUAUGUUUUUACUGAUUAUCUAGAUAAUGAAUUUCCUACUUUAAAAUACAGACUAAAUCAUGAACUAUUUAAUAUAACCAAUAUUGAAUGGGGUUUUACUAAAGAAAUAGUUGUGCAAAAUCUUUCUUUUCAUCUUUUAAAAGAUUUUCCAGCUAUUGUAAAGUCUGUUUUACAAAACAUCAUAAACAAUGAUGAUUUUUAUUACUAUUUUCAUAUUGAUAUUAGUAGUCUAAUUGGUAUAGCUGAAUAAGAAAAAUUCUACCAGCCAUAUCAAAUUUGAAUUAUUAAAAGGAUGAUUAGAACCCCCCAAUUAUCUGCUGUAAAUGAAGAUAAAGAACAUUUGUCAAAAACAAUUGAUAAAUGUUAUAAUAAGUUUGAAGAUUAUCAAGUCCAAACAGGAUUAUAUUAUCACAAGCCCAUUAUCUUCUCUAUGAUGAAGUCUACAAACUCUGGACGGAUGGUAGAAGAAUUUUGGCAUUUCCGAAUGGAAACAUCCAGGAGGAAAGAAAUGAAGAAUCUGUGAAGCUAUUAAAAAAGAUUGUUGAAAUGGAGAUAGAAGAAUUUCCAUCUCACAUUACAGAAAAAAUCAAAUAUACAUGGGAGAUGUGUAACUCACCACCAAGACUCUCAUCAGAUUCUUUACAUUUGGAUGAGAUCGAAGAAAUGAAUCUCAACAACAUGCAAGAGGGUUGAAGUCAACAAAGAUGGCAACCUGAUGAACAAUCCACAUACCAACAAAAAAGAUUGGAAACGUGGAAAUCAUGAUGAUGUAAGCCAUGAUGGAAGAAACCAUGAAGGCUAAUCAAAGACAUCCAGAUGCAGACAACAAAGUCCUGCAACGUGGAGAUUGUCAUCAAACCAAUGAUGAUGUAAGCAACCAUGACACAAGCAAGUGAUGGAAGCGGCCAUUAAUACAAGCAUGCAAAGUGGAAACAACCAGAGCCAUGCAAUUAAAGUUACAAAAAGACAAAUGCGACGUGAAAGCAGCCACAUCCAUUUGAAGCCGAAUCCUUAUCAGAAACAUUAUUCGGGAUUCAAACAACAAUUGUAUAGAAUUUUUAAUCUCCUCUAUAAAUAGAGAGGAAAGUUCAAUUGUAUAGCAUCUUGUAAAUUCUGCAUAAUCUUUCUCUUAGAAUUCGAUCUUAUAAAUUACCGACGACUUUUCUUUAUAAUAAAAGAGUUUAUAUUCCCUUCCGCUCUUACUCUCAAAUACUCUACAUUACCCUUCCUCCCCAGCUUGGUAUCGGAGGUGCCAGUGUAACGACUCUGGAGAAAGUAGCGUAAUAUUUAUUGUAAGUUUUAAUCUUUGAUUUACAUUUCUGUUUGUUUCAAAAUUAUUUGUUUCAAAACCUAUAUCUGUUAAUCUGUCUUCUUGUUGUCGUUAAGUCCGGGGUGGACGUUUAGGCAUUUGGUGAAGACGUUAGGAUUAAAGGCUAGUCUUAGAUACCCGAAGCAAAUAAUAUGGAGCAAAUCGAGUGUCAGUUUAAAGAUAACUUGUUAUCAAAUUACGCAUAUAGACUCUAGAAAUGAAAAUAACAUUUCAUCUCUGAGUGAUUUAACAAAUGAAAUGUUAGAAUCUGAUGGUUUAACAAAUGAAAUGUUAUUUUCAUUUCUAGAGUCUAUAUGCGUAAUAUGAUCACAAGUUUUAUCUUUAAACUGACACUCGAUUUGCUCUAUAUUAUUUGCUUCGGGUACCUAAGACCAGCCUGUAAUCCUAACGUCUUCAUCAAACGCCUAAACGUCCACCCCAGACUCAACGACAACAAGAAGACAAAUUAACAUAUAUAGGUUUUGAAACAAAUAAUCUUGAAACAAACAGAAAUGUAAAUUAAAGAUUAAAAUUUACAAUAAAUAUUACACUACUUUCUCCAGAAAGUCGUUACACUGGCACCUCUGAUACCAAGCGGAGAGGAAGGAUAAUGUAGAGUAUUUGAGAGUAAGAGCGAAAAGGAAUAUACUCUUUUAUUAUAAAGAAAAAUCGUUGGUAAUUUACAAGAUCGAAUUCUAAGAAAAAGAUUAUGCGGAAUUUACAAGAUGCUAUACAAUUGAACUUUCCUCUCUAUUUAUAGAGGAGAUUAAAAAUCCUAUACAAUUGUUGUUUGAAUCCCGAACAGUGUUUCUGAUAAGGAUUCGGCUUCAAAUGAAUGUGGCUGCUUCCACGUCGCAUUUGUCUUUUUGUAACUUUAAUUGCAUGGCUCUGGUUGUUUCCACUUUGCAUGCUUGUAUUAAUGACUGCUUCCAUCACUUGCUUGUGUCAUGGUUGCUUCCAUCAUUGCUUACAUCAUCAUUGGUUUGAUGACAAUUUCCACGUUGCAGGACUUUGUUGUCUGCAUCUGGAUGUUUUUGAUUAGCCUUCAUGGCUUCUUCCAUCAUGGCUUACAUCAUCAUGAUUUCCACGUUUCCAAUCUUUUUUGUUGGUAUGUGGAUUGUUCAUCAGGUUGUCAUCUUUGUUGACUUCAACCUUCUUGAUAAUUUUCCUGAUGUAUGACUUUUUGUCUUCAUCUGGAUGUUUUAACCAUCAUAAUGAACUUUAGAUAUAUCUUGAUGGUAAUUUUCCCAUGCGCUUCUGAUUUGUUGCAGAAUAUGAGGCGGGAAAUCAUUAAUAUCCAUUUAUGCUAUCUUUUUUAAUAGUUGAAUGGAUUCUUUGUCUUUAUCACCAAUUCUAGAAUAAUAUGCCAUUAUUCUUCUUCCAUCAGUUCUGAUGUAAUAGUUUCUUUCUUGAAGAAGAUAUCUGGCUUUAGCCAUUAAAUCAAUUUCGAUUUGGAUUUGAUAAUAGUUUGGAUCUUUUUGACACUUGUCAAUUGUUUUUGCCAGGUGUUCUUUGUCUUCAUUUAAAGCUGAUAAUCGAGGACUAUCAAGCAUAGUAUGAAUAAACCAUAUUUGGUAUGGCUGAAAAAAAAUAUCUUUUUUAGAAAUACCUAUAAAAGUACUAAUUUGAAUAUAAAAAUAGUAAAAGAAAUCAUCAUUGUUUAUGAUGGUUUGUAAAAAGGAUUUUACUAUUGCUAGAAAAUCUAAUAGAAGAUGAAAAGAGAAAUUUUGUACUAUUAUUUCUAUAACAAAACCCCAUUCAAUAUUGGUUAUAUCAAAUGGUUCGUGAUCCAAUCUAUAUUUUAUAGUUGGACAAUUAUUUCCAAAAAAAUUUGUAAAAACAUAAGAUUGUAAAAAAUAUUCAGAAAAAGUUUUUUGGAAUUGAAUCUGUUGAUUACAAAUAAUUUCAUUAAUUUUGUUGAAUAAUUCCACAGGCAGAAUUUGUCUAGAUUUGUUAUAUAAACAAAUUCUGAAUACCUUAUUCAUAAUAGGACUAUUUUUUCCUUUAUGAAUAAAAUAUUGAAAAAUAUCAAGAAGAUUGUUUAUCUCCUUAAUAUCAAUGAAUUCUAACUGGAAUUCAUCCCAUUCUCUAUAUAAAAUGGAUUUAAGUAAUAAAUCUUCACCUUCAUUCUCUUUAGUUGUUUUUUCAACUAAAAAUAAUGAAAAUCUGGUAAGAGCUCUACGGAAAUUGACUCUUUGUUGUGAAAUAUGGGUUUUCCAUAUUUCAUUUAUAAAAUCAUAAAUUUCUGGUGAUAAACCAGGAUUAUAAAAAUCUUUAAUUUUUGAAAGAUCUUUUAAUUCUUGAAUUUGUUAUUGAUUCAACAAAUUCUCUGCUCCCUUAAUGACUUCAGCAUAACUUGUUUGUGAUACUAAAUUCGGAUUUUGGGACCAUUGUAAUUGACCCACCGUGUUUGGGAUCAAUGAAAAAGUAUUUCCCAUUGGUUGAUUUAUCAUUGGAUAAUUUAAAACAUUUGAUCCAAGUGGUUAGUUUACCAUUGGAUAAGACACAUAAUAUCCUUGGUUAGGAUAAAAUAGUGUUUGUUGUGCAGGUAUAAAUCCUUUUUUGGAUGUUGAUUCUGCUUUCCCUUUGGUGGGUUUUUUGUGGACGGUUGUCCAUUCACCAACUAUUUCUUGAUGUAGAGGUUUUUUACCUUUAUCCAUAAGACCUGCUUAAAAAAUUAGCAAUUGUUAGGAAUAAUUAUCUAAUUUAAUAGGUGUAAAUUUUUUAUUACACACGACUUUAUUAUUAUUUUCAAUAGGUAUUUUUAUAAAAUCUUUUUCUUUUGAUAACCAAAUACUAUUUUUGUCAAUAGUAAAAGGUAAAUGUCUAAGUAUAAAAUUAUUUCCUAAUAAUAUAUCUGUUUGCAUACUAGGAAAACAUACAAUUUUAGGAAUUACAAAUCUAACAUUGUUUAUGUAGAUUGGUAUAUUUUUUGCUUUAUAAUUAAUAAUGGUUUUAUUACCAUCUAUACCUUUUAUUAUUAUAGGUUUUCUCAUUAAUUCCCAUUUUUCUGUAGGGAUUGCAUUCAUUCUGCAACUACAGAUUGUAGCUCUAGUAUCUAUCAUAGCGUUUAGAGAAUAUGGUUUAUAUUUACUAAACUGGAAUGUAAUUCUUAUAUUUAUUCCAACUUUUGACUUUUUAUCAAUCGUUGAAACCUGUAUUUCUUCCAUUCUAGUUUUUCUAGAAUUAAUACUGGGUUCAGUAAGAAAUAUAGGAAUUUGUACAGUUUUAAUUCUUAUUGGUGUACUGUUUGUACUAAUAUUCUUCUUCUUCGGGUUGAGAACUAGAGAGUAAAACUAAAUUUUUAUUUGUAUUGGUUAUACAAUUAUUUUUAAAAUAUAAUUUGUUUCCAGAUGACAUGUAUUCUAUAGUACUUACUGGUUUAGAAGUACCUGCAUUACUAAUUUUAUCUAUCAUCCAAUCUCUUGGAAUUGACAAAUCUCUUAUAUCUAAUAAUCUAGGCUGGAUUUCAGUAGUGAACCGGUUUGGUUCAAAGAGUUCAAUAAUUUUGUUAUUAAUCUCUUUUAUUUCUACUUCAGCAGUAUUUGUAUAUUCAUUAAUAGAAGUCCAACUGAUUGCUAGAUCUUCUGCUAAAUCAUUAAUAUCAAAAUUUUUUGUCUGAAUUCUAAGGCAAAGACACUCUUCUAUUAGAGGACCUGUAAUAGAAAUAAAGUAAUUAGGUUUAACUUUAAAUCCUAUUACGCCUGUAUGUAAAUUAGACUGAAUUCCUCCAAUAAGUGCUUUUAUUGAAUUCUCAAAUCUUUUAUCUAAAAAGACAGCAAUUAUAGGAAUAUCAUGUCCUCUUCUAAAUAAAACUCUAAUAGUAAUCAUGAUUAUCCCUAAAUGAAUUGGGUAUUCCUACUCUUAGGUUAAAUACAUUACAACUCUUAACUAGGAAUUUCUACCAAGAACUAUGGAGCCUAAAACUCCCUUCUAAAAUCCAGAUUACAGUUUAGCGCAUCUCAAGAAAUUACAUCCCUACGAAAACAAAUCUACAUUUCAAGAGAUUAGUAACAAACACAAACUGCCCAAGAUAUGGGGAAGCAGUAGAAAACAUGACACAUGUUUUUCUUCAUUGUCCUGCUUCAAUAGAAGUAUGGCAAUUAGUGAACUUACAAUGGUUACUUCAAAAUCUAUUCCAGACUGGUUUGAAUGGCUUGCUUGGGCUUUUGAUGAUUGCUCAAAUCCCCAGAGGCGAAUGAUCUGCGUAUCCGUUUGGGUCCUUCGGACAGAGAGGAACAAGUAUGUGCAUGAAAAAAAUAAAGAAAUCUAGUAAAGAUAUUGCCUUCUUUAUUCAAAAAUACAUAACGAAGCUGGAUAGAUUAGAGGAAAACGGACUUACCAAGGCACCUAUCAGAGACUCAUGGGUUCUGCCUCCUGGAGAAGACAUAAAAAUCAACUUUGAUGUGGGUUUUAAUUGGGGGCUUUUAGAGCAAGCUCGGGAAUAGUUGCCAGAAACAGAAGGGAAAGAGUGAUCGCCUCCAGAGCGACCAUAUACGAGAAUGUUGACUCGGCUUUCGCAGCAGAAGCACAUGCAUGUUUAGAGGCAGUGAAAAUGGGGUUAGAAAUGAAAGAACAUAAAAUUUUUAUUGAAGGGGACUCGAUUUCAGUUAUAAGGAAAUGCACUUCAAAAUCCAGAGGUAAAUCAGAAAUAUGCUCCAUCAUACACGAUAUAAAGACUAUACAGAGAGAGUUCAAAUCCAUAAAAUUUCAGCAUGUCCAUCACACAGCAAGCAAUGCGGCAGAUAUAAUAGCCACUGAAAGUCUGAAGCAAAGGAAAGGGUUUUACCUGGAAGGUGCGGUACCAAGUCAUGCAGUCAAAACGCUAGAAGACGAAUGGAUCAGAGAACCAGACUGAAGCUUUGUGAGGAAGAUGAGUGUUUGCUCCAUGGGAAUCAAAACGUCGGAGUAAAAUGUUUUGAAGCGGAAAUGAUUCUCUGGAAAUCAGGGGAGCAUUGCUUUGGAUGGAAAAGGAUGUUUUUAGGAAAGUGAAACCGUCAGGCACUUAUGAAUGAUAGCUGAUGGGACGGAUAAUGAAUUUCCCGAGUGAGUGGGCUUUAAAUU
rnacentral:lncRNA from 1 species